GACGAACGCUGGCGGCGUGCUUAACACAUGCAAGUCGAACGGAAAGACGCUGCUUUUGUUGGGCUCUCGAGUGGGGAAGGCGUGUGAAACACGUGAGUAUCCUGUCCUUGACUGUGGGAUAUCUUCACGAGACUGCGGCUAAUACAGGGUAGGAUCUCCUGAUGCGUGGGGUGGGUUGGAAAGUUUCGGCGGUUGUGGAUGGACUCGCUGCUUAGCAGCUGGUUUGGGGGGUAGUGGCUGACAAGGCCUUUGACGGGUAGCCGGCGUGAGAGGGUGACCGGCGACAUUGGGACUAAGAUACGGCCCAGACUCCAACGGUCGGCAACAGGCGAGAAUCUUGCACAAUGAGCGGAAGUCUGAUGCAGCAGCGCCGCGUGCGGAAAGACGUCUUUCGGGUUGUAAACCGCUUUCGCCUGUGACGAUGCGUGAGUGACGGUAAUGGAUAAAGAAGCACCGGCUAACUACGUG
rnacentral:rRNA from 1 species